rnacentral:rRNA from 1 species
CGGACGGGUGAGUAACGCGUAGGAAUCUAUCUUUGGGUGGGGGACGAACCGUGGGAAACUACGGCUAAUACCGCAUGAGGCCUGAGGGCCAAAGCUUGUGAGAGCGCCUGAGGAGGAGCCUGCGUCCGAUUAGCUAGUUGGUGGGGUAACGGCCUACCAAGGCUGCGAUCGGUAGCUGGUCUGAGAGGAUGAUCAGCCACACUGGGACUGAGACACGGCCCAG